rnacentral:rRNA from 1 species
UACGUAGGGUGCAAGCGUUGUCCGGAAUUAUUGGGCGUAAAGAGCUCGUAGGCGGCUUGUCGCGUCGACUGUGAAAACCCGCGGCUCAACUGCGGGCUUGCAGUCGAUACGGGCAGGCUAGAGUUCGGUAGGGGAGACUGGAAUUCCUGGUGUAGCGGUGAAAUGCGCAGAUAUCAGGAGGAACACCGGUGGCGAAGGCGGCAUCCUGGACCAACACUGACGCUGAGUGAGCGAAAGCCAGGGGAGCAAACGGG